ACUCUAACCAACAGCUAAAGCCACAAAAGAAGUCCCAGGGAAAUAUGUCAUGUAUUACAGGGCACGCCUCAAAAUUUGGUCGAUGACUGCAUUUCAGAGGUAGCAGUCCUUCCUGCCUGCUGGAAAUUAUCAUAUGUUUGAAUCUUAGUUGUUCAAUCUUCUGUUGCAAGAGAGGACAGAAAUGAAGACACAGGACGGAACUAUGAGCCUUCCUCCCCACCUAGUGGUGAAAUGGCAGACCAACACAAAAUGCGAGUGAGUAGUGAGUGGAAUUCUGCAGCACGGAGACGGCACGCUGAAUGGCUGACACUGCACAGAUUUCAUGCUUGGGUUGUUUAUGUGGCACUUCAGUGGAGACAGCAGCUGAGUGUCUUGGGCCUUAUAUGCCUGGCUUCCCGCUGAAGAGCUGAAGCAGAGUGGAAGGUGCUGUGACAUGACCAGCAGUGAGAAGAUGGUGCAGUGGCACCAGAGGAAAAUCAAAUGAAAAGUGUUCACCUCGGCAGCUACUGAGAAUGCUGGAGAAAAAAAAGCAGAAUUUGGGACUGUUAUUAAGGUAUGCUUUGAAAGGUGGAUGUUUUGCCUGCUGCAGGGC
rnacentral:lncRNA from 1 species